GUCACAGUGGCCGAGUGGUUUUAAGGCGUUGCCCUGCUAUACAUACAAGUUAGCCAGGCAGUGGGUUUUGCCCGCGCAGGUUCGAGUCCUGUCUGUGACG
rfam:Sugiyamaella lignohabitans strain CBS 10342 chromosome B, complete sequence.